UCUGAUCUGUUCCAUCUUCCUGUUGUUGGAGGCAUAGGUAGUUUCUGUCCUGAUCCCACAACUCCCAUUCCACUAGCUUCACAAGCUACAAUGCUGAAAUCUUCAACUAAUUGUUCAGUUGAUUGUCCCAUUAAAGCUAUUACUCCUUCUACUGUCUCAGCUUCUUUGUCCACAACAUCUUCAACUAUCAAUCCUUCACCACAAGUACAAAACACCCUCUUUAAGCUCUCAAAAUCUUCCUCUAUUAUCUGAUGAUCGCCCCUCGAAAAGAU
rnacentral:lncRNA from 1 species